UCCUGAUUAUUUUACCCCUGGAGCUCUCGUUUCCUUAUCAAUGCUCACAAGCUUUCCUUAGCCUUUUAUUUACUGGGAGGUGCUUUUUAGAGCGUUUGCUUCUUCUGGCUGGCUUAAUUCAGCUAGAUCAUGGUGCCUCUGUUCAUGGCCUGUCUGUAAAACCCAGAGCUAAAGUGCAGCCCCUGGAAGGACCAUCAGUGAACCUCUGCUUCUCCCCAAGACCUGCAGAGGUGACACAGAAAUAACUGUGUUAGUACCAGUAGGGUUACACCCAUGCAAAACGGACACGAACAAUGGGGACUGGGGCUGCGCAGUGACCAGGAAUAAUAUCUGCUGACCCUCAGGGUGCAGUUUCCCAUUUAGGCUUAACCUGAUCUGACCGUGGGCUGCUGGUGAAAGGGUGGUCCUGCUCUUCCUGCCUGCCCCUAGGCAUAUGCUCCUGACACCUCCCUUGCGCUGGAAGCUGCAAUCCUGGAGGCUACAGAAAGGACCCACAGAAUUUUUUUCUUUUUUUGGUAAAUUAGUUUCCUGCCGGAUCAACAAGCCAAAGCGAAUCACCCUGCCACAGCAGUGUAUGAUGCAGGAGAUCACCAGGUCAGCUAAACCUAGAGUUUGACUGGAUUCAGGAUAACCAGAAAACUGAGCAUCUGUCUUCUAUACCGACCCUUUACACUACAGCCUCUGGGGAACCACCCUGCUCUCCAGCGUGCAAAACCAUCGAUGUAACAGCGCAAAGUAAGUCGUGUGGAGUAGCCGGUAUCAGGGAGAAGGGUGAGACAGAGCCUGGGUCUCAGCCCACAACCGCACCGCCCAUGGCAGCUGCCUUCUCUGUGUUUCCCACGCUCUUCCUCCAGCUGCAGUUCCACCCGGGGCCCAGCACCAACCGGACAACGCUCUGGAGGGAACCUGGGGCACUUCCACAAGCUACUUCUGCUUCAGCUGUGGCGGGAAAAAAAAAGCAAUGGGUGCAAUAGUUCUGAUCCUCUCUCCCACAGGUCCCUGGGAGCGGGGGUGGGGUGGCCGUGGAGGUGACAGCGGUCCCCUGGCUCCCUGGGCUGCGCUCCUGCCUGUGACGUGGUGUAGAAGUGGGCUACCAGCCUGCUCUGGCUGAGGCCAGGCGUCCUGCAGCGUGAAGGGCUAAUAACUGGGAAAGCCGCUGCAGCUUUAGCUCUGGUCCGGCUCCUUGCUGCACUUACUCCAGCCUCACGCCGAUACAACAGAGAUUGGCAUCGGGCUUCUCGAGUUCUGCUUGCAAGUGUCUAUGUGAUUGAGAGUUUGUGCUUCGUUUUCAAGAGGGAUUGAUGUCCGACCACAUUAAAAGAAGUGUUGUGGGAGGAAAGGCCCCUGUGCUGUGCCUGCCAUCAAUGCCCCUCUGGAGGAUGCUUCCCAGACACCUUGACUAGCCCUGCAUGAAUAAAAUGAAUUUUGCAACCUUGGUGAGUGCACUGCUCUCUGGAAGCAGAGCCACCUCAUGACCCGGACUGCGCAUGCCCACUUGGAGAGAUGUUUUUGGGAGGCUCAGGAUCCCUCUCCAUAACACUGAGCCCCACUGGGCAGAGGAGAUCAGCCUGGGGAAGAGCCCUGCCAGCCUGCCUUGCUUUUGGCACGUUGGAGGCAGUGGUACAGUUGGGCCUUCAUCCAGGAGAAGGGAAACCCUCAGCCCCUGUGUGUGGUGGGGUGAGGCUCUGUCCCUUAUGCACCUGCUAAGCUGGGGUUCAGAAGGACUGAAGUCACCCCGAGUUCCCUGGACAACUGCUCCUGCACUGAAAUUAGCUUAUGUGCAGCAUACACCUCUGCUUUGACCUCCCUGCAGAUAUAGGCUGGGCAUUUCCCUGCAAACUGCCCUUCUUUAUGCUGGCUGUGAACAACAAAAUGCCACUGCUAUGGCAGUCAUUGGAAUGAAAACCGCUUAUCGUGCCUGGGAGAGCUCACGCUAUUGCAGCUGCCCUCCGCUGUGCCUUCGUUCGUCUUCUGUUCCCAGCGCGCAGCAAAGAGGAGGCCAGGAAAUUUGGGAAGUUAAGAUACUAGCAUCAUCUGAGACACCAGUUAGCCAAAAGGACCAGCUGAGGGAAUCCCCACCCCAAGAGGUGCUGGAGAAGGCAAAGCAACGGCCUGGGGCUUGACAGGACUGAGUGGUGGGAGACCCCUGGGGCCUGCCGCAGACCUCGGCAACAUUUGAAGAGUCCAGUGUUCAGGGAGUGCUUUUGGUGACGUGCCCAGAAGAUACUGGAAAGUCUACAAACUACCAUCCACAGUUACAUAAACUAAUGGCUCCGCAGAGUGUUUAUCCUUCAUUUCCAGAGUUAGGAGUGUGGUGUUCAGCUGGUAUAAAAAGGCACGGCCAGUAGAUGACUCCUCUUCUCCUUCAUGUCUUUCAUCCAGUCGUUCUCCAUGCCACUCAAGUGAGCUCAGACUAACUGAUUUAUAGUAGCAGUCAGUAAGAAAAUAACUAGGCUUUGAGAUCCUGGCUUUCACUGAGCAAGAUCUUAAGUGGAUUAAUACACACAGUUUUGCUGACUUGCCAAUAGCCUCAGGCUUUUGAUAAGCAAGUGAUCUGGCCAACCUGAGCUCUCAAAUCACAGUCAAAAAAUUUCUCGCAGUGUUUGGAACUCUCCCCUGGAUGCUAGUUUCACAUUCCUAAGCAAAAGGUACAACAUACUAUUUUCUGGGAUUUGAGUUUGCUUGCUCUGGCACGUUACAUUAAACCCUUGAAACCCCAAACUCAUAUUUGCAAUACCAGUUGGGAAGGUUUGGGAAAUGUACAGGGCAUCGUCAGCUG